CUUGGCCGAACCGACCAGCACCGGCUCGGCGCGGCCCUUCCCGUAGGUGGCCUGCAGCGCCUGCGCCUC
rnacentral:antisense_RNA from 1 species